rnacentral:rRNA from 1 species
UACAGAGGUGCCGAGCGUUAGGCGGAAUCACUGGGCUUAAAGCGUGUGUAGGCGGAUGCCUAAGUACCUUGUGAAAUCCCCACGGCUUAACCGUGGAACUGCUCGGUAUACUGGGUGUCUUGAGCCACUUAGGGGCUACCGGAACAAAUGGUGGAGCGGUGAAAUGCGUAGAUAUCAUUUGGAACGCCAAUGGUGAAAACAGGUAGCUGGGAGUGUGCUGACGCUGAGACACGAAAGCCAGGGGAGCGAACGGG